AAAAUCCGUCGACUUUCUAAU
rnacentral:tRNA from 1 species